AGCAUAUCAAUAAGCGGAGGAAAAGAAACCAACAGGGAUUGCCCUAGUAACGGCGAGUGAAGCGGCAACAGCUCAAAUUUGAAAUCUGGCUCCUUUGGGGUCCGAGUUGUAAUUUGCAGAGGGUGCUUUGGCGUUGGCUGUGGUCUAAGUUCCUUGGAACAGGACGUCACAGAGGGUGAGAAUCCCGUACGUGGCCGCCAGCCUCCGCCUUGUAAAGCCCCUUCGACGAGUCGAGUUGUUUGGGAAUGCAGCUCUAAAUGGGAGGUAAAUUUCUUCUAAAGCUAAAUAUCUGCCAGAGACCGAUAGCGCACAAGUAGAGUGAUCGAAAGAUGAAAAGCACUUUGGAAAGAGAGUCAAAAAGCACGUGAAAUUGUUGAAAGGGAAGCGCUUGCAGCUAGACGUGCCUCUGGAUGAUCAGCCGGGCUUCUGCCCGGUGCACUCUUCCUCUGGCAGGCCAGCAUCAGUUUGGGCGGCUGGAUAAAGGUCUGUUAAACGUGACUCCCCUCGGGGAGAGCUUAUAGGGCAGACGACAUGCAGCCAGCCCGGACUGAGGUCCGCGCAUCUGCUAGGAUGCUGGCGUAAUAGCUGUAAGCGGCCCGU
rnacentral:rRNA from 1 species